rnacentral:lncRNA from 1 species
CUGAGUAUAAGCAUGCACUUUGCACUCCCCCAUGAUAAGGUGAAGGCAAUGUACAAGUCAUAAACGAUUGGAGCCUACCACGGUGGAAGGCCACAAAAAAGUGUUCAAAGCACUCUUACGCUUUCAACUUAAUAUUGUAUGUUGGUUGAGGGAUUUUAAGGUCUCAUCAAUUUUAUUUAUUUAAUCAUAUUCAAAUAAAUAAUGUCCUAUUACAACUACUAGUCCAAAGUUAAUGAAAUUAGUAGCAUAUGAUAUCCCCACUAUUCGUUUUUAAUAAAACAAAUCAAUAUCAAAACAUUUUUCAAAAUAUUGGAGAUAUAUAUAAACUACUAAUUGUAUUCAUUAUGGUUUAGUAGCGUAUGAUACUCCCACUAUUUGUUUUGAGAAAAACAAAUCAAUAUCAAAAACGAAUUUUUCAAAU